rnacentral:siRNA from 1 species
AAAGUUCUCAGUAUCCCUCACUUA